rnacentral:rRNA from 1 species
GAUGAACGCUAGCGGCAGGCUUAACACAUGCAAGUCGAGGGGCAGCAUGAAGGUUAGCAAUAACCUUUGAUGGCGACCGGCGCAAGGGUGCGUAACGCGUGAGCAACUUGCCCGUUUCUGGGGAAUAACCGGUGGAAACGCCGACUAAUACCCCAUAGCAUCAGAAUGAGGCAUCUCAAUCUGAUUAAAGAAAUUCGGAAACGGAUAGGCUCGCGUGACAUUAGCUAGAUGGCGGGGUAACGGCCCACCAUGGCUACGAUGUCUAGGGGUUCUGAGAGGAAGGUCCCCCACACUGGAACUGAGACACGGUCCAGACUCCUACGGGAGGCAGCAGUGAGGAAUAUUGGUCAAUGGUCUGACGACUGAACCAGCCAUGCCGCGUGAAGGUCACGGCCCUAUGGGUCUUAAACUUCUUUUUGUAAGGGAGCAAUAAGGUCUACGUGUAGACUGAUGAGAGUACCUUACGAAUAAGCAUCGGCUAACUCCGUGCCAG